UACGUAGGGCGCAAGCGUUAUCCGGAAUUAUUGGGCGUAAAGAGCUCGUAGGCGGUUUGUCGCGUCUGCCGUGAAAGUCCGGGGCUCAACUCCGGAUCUGCGGUGGGUACGGGCAGACUAGAGUGAUGUAGGGGAGACUGGAAUUCCUGGUGUAGCGGUGAAAUGCGCAGAUAUCAGGAGGAACACCGGUAGCGAAGGCGG
rnacentral:rRNA from 1 species